ACAUCAUUCCUUGGCGUGUUGGGAGUCUUUCAAACCAGACAUUUCUUUGCUGCAUUUUCUCAUACAAUUUGCGUGCAAAACACUCCCCAACGCAACGCGUAAAAUCCAUUACAAACUUAGAAAAAAAGCUUCAAACUCGUAUAUUUAUAUAUGACUAAUGGAUGUAUAGAGGCUUUGGAUUUGGAUCAUUCAAGCUCUUGUUUUGAAAGACAAAUUUUUUCAUGAUGCCUAUUAUGUCAAAUUCUUCAGGGUCUUACAAACUAUAGAGUUUGGUUACAGUGCUUUAUCGUUAUCGGCUUUGCACUCCCAAUCGGUCUCAGCCUCAGCAGCAACACCAACUCCGCCACCGUGAUGCUUGGUUGUCGAAAUUCAGUUAUGGGGAUCAUUCUAUGCAUCGUGGUUUGAGGUCGAUGAUCACUGCUGCCAAUAGUCGAAUCAGCAGCACACCGGCUACCACUGAUAUGGUAACAAAGCAUGACAACAACAAUGUUCAACCGUCAGUGCCACCUCCUCCUAGUAAACCCGGCUUCCCAACCUGGUGUUGAGCAGGAUGGCGGUGUCACCUAGAUGUUUGUUUGCAAGAUGCUUUAUUUUGUUUUGUAGUUUAUCUCUUUUGUAUAUGUCGGCUUGAGAAGCCUUUUGUUUAAGAUGUAACAUGUACUUUAUUUUAUUUGUAUUCAAGUUGUAAUACCAUGAAAAGAUGUAUGACAUUUUAUUUGAUCUAUGCACAGCUCUUAUGGACUAUUAGUUUUAAAUUUAAU